AAAACAUGUCUUCAUGAUCAUAAUUAUAUGAAGUCGUACCUGCCCAAUGAUUUAAUUUAAUGGCCGCGGUAUUUUGACCGUGCAAAGGUAGCAUAAUAAAUUGUCUACUAAAUGUGGACUAGAAUGAAAGGUUUGACGAGGUAUAAACUGUCUCUUUUGUAUUUAUAUUAGAACUUGAAUUUUAAGUUAAAAUGCUUUAAAUUUUAUUGUAGGACGAGAAGACCCUAUAGAGUUUUAUGUUAAUAGGUUUAAUUUAUAUUAGGAUUUUUUAAUUACAUUAAUUUUAUAUACAUUUUGUUGGGGUGACAGGAAGAUUAUCAUAACUCUUUUUUUUUAUUUACAUUAAUUAGUGAUUUUUUUAGUUGAUCCAGAUAUUCUGAUUAUAAGAUUAAAUUACCUUAGGGAUAACAGCGUAAUAUUUUUUGAGAGUUCUUAUCGACAAGAAAGAUUGCGACCUCG
rnacentral:rRNA from 1 species